GGCGGAAGCGGAAGCGGAGGUGCAGGAAGAUGGCGGUGCUGGGGGGUUUGGCGGCGGUGAACAGGCUGCGUGAGUUUUUGGCUGCUCCGCAGGUGACUGCGAUUGCAGUGCGAUGCGCAUCCAAGAAGAGUGGAGGCAGCUCAAAAAAUCUCGGUGGCCACAGCCCCGGGAAACACUAUGGCUAUAAGAAAACAGAGGGCGCCUUUGUUCAUGCAGGCAACACAUUAGCCACCCAACGGAUAAUACGCUGGCAUCCAGGGGCUCAUGUGGGGAUGGGUUGUAACAAGACUCUCUAUGCUCUGGAGGAUGGGAUUGUGCGAUUCACCAAGGAGGUCUAUGUGCCACCACCCCGCAGCCAAGAGACCAGGGAAGUGAUCUGUCGUCUACCAAAAGGGGUGGUGCUUUACAAAACCUUCAUCAACGUUGUCCCCACCAAAGAAGUGGGGAGCUUCAAGCUAGUCACCAUGCUCUGAGGCUCUGCUACCUCAUGCAGUAACGACUGGUGGGGUGGGACUGAUCACCAUGACAAACCUGGCACUCAAUCAAAAAGACGUCUGAGGACUCCUCUAGGUCUGAAAUGACUUGUUGGCAACUGCAGUUUCCUGCUCCUACAACUCAUUGGGUGUGGAUUUGAGAGUUACAAGGUGGGAGCUAAUUGCACUGGGCGUCAGAGGCUGAACUGAAUCCCUGUUGUCACUCCCCCUCCUCUUAAUGAAAGAGUUUGCAGCAUAUUGGUAACAGUUAGAAGCCUUUAUGCAAGGAGUUACUGCAGUUUAUUGGCAUGAACAAGUACCAGAAGGAGCUGUCUCCACUGUUUGUGCUUAUCAUCUGAGGGGAAAGUCCAGGGAGACAUAAACAACCAGCUCUGCUCACAUGGUGAACUCUGGUUGUACUGUGUGAAGCCGGCAUCUUUGCCAGAAAUUUUGUUGUAAAACUCCUGUCUGUUUAGGUAGAAGAGGGAACUCCAGGAGCUCCCUGCCCAAAAGACAGUUUCAGAGAAUGAGAAUAAAAUGUUUUUCUGAAUUAAUCAUGCAAUAGCUUUAGAACGAUGUCCAGUCCUGCCAUGAUGAGCAUAUUCAAAAGGGAAACUGCCACAUUGUGGCCAAAAAUAAAACCCUAAGGUCAAUAGAAAUAUAUUUUCAUGACAUCCUAAAGUUUCAUUCCAAAGCAAUUUGUCUGGAUUUUGAGUCCCUCCCGUGUUUGUAAUGCUCAUACUACAGCAUUGUGCAAAGGCAGAGGAGCUAGUGAAAAAAUAAGGCCAGAUGACUUCUAAAAUGUUUGGUUUUAAUAGUAGAAGGUAUUAAACUUCUGUUCCUAUAA